rnacentral:lncRNA from 1 species
AGAAAGGUAAAAAUAUAGGUUGGACAUUCACCAAGGAGAGACCAAAUAAUGCUUUAUAGCUCUAAGACCAUGACAAAAAUAAUGUAAAAAUAGUCAUCCGCAGGUUAUAGCAAGAGUAAGGAACAUUUAACAUUAAGAGAGACAUAUUAACAUAACAUAGGGUGAGCUUGGUUCUAGGAUUUGCAUUCGAGUUUUGAGAAUUUAAAAUCUACGACUACAUGAUAGAUUUUAGGUUGUACAAUUUUGCAUGAAAUAAGACAGAGACUACAUGAUAAACUAAUGUGCUACAAAACAAGAUGGUUUCAUAAAAAUAAAUUCAAAUCCUUAUCAUGGAAAUUAUUUUUAUUUCUUUCACCAUAAUAAAACCAGAUUUUUCUUGAUUGGACAAGGACAGUGGGGGUGUAUUGAUCUAACUUCCAUAAGUUUCAGAUAAUUUGCAAUCGAGAUACAAAAGAAUGAUGCUAGUGUAAUGUAUAGAAAUCUCAUAGAAGCUAUACACGGAUUCAAAUUCACAUGACAAGAACUUCAGAUUUCUGAAGUUAAAAUUGACAAAGUACUAGAUUUACAGGCAAAGGCCACUUGAAUUCACAAGUAAAGAAAGAGAGAGGCCAAAAUUUAAUCACAAGUUCUGAAAUGAACUUUCCUGCUCAAGUACCGAACCACUACAAAUAUGUUUCAUUUAAAUUAAUGAGAACAUAAAGAAAGAAUAUUUCACAUUAGCUACUUAAGAAAAUUGUGAUACACUACGCAGAACAACAUUCAACAAGUAAUGUGCGGAGACAGGGUAAACCACCCAAGUUCAUCAAAUCUAUUUCAUUAUUACUUCUUUUUCUAAAACUAAAAUGAUGUGAAUAUGUAUUUAGAAUUAUAAACAAAAUAUACGGUCGCAAACUGUGUUCCAAGCCUUAACUAAC